UUCACCCACACCCCAGAAAGGAAAGGAGAGAUAAGAGACCGACCAAGAGUUAGAGGAGAGGAGUGAGAUAAAGAAAUAAAAGCAAAAGAGUGAAUAUUUCAUCGCAUUUUCUUUCCAGAUUGCAUAACAUAUUUGCAUCCAUCUUCAUUCAAACUUCUGAAGAAAACUACUUUCAGAAUCACCAGAGAAAUGGGCGAAGAGAAGAAAGAGGAAGAGAAGAAGGAAGAAAGCAAAGAUGAAAAGAAAGAAGAAGAGAAAAAGGAAGAAAAGAAAGAAGAAGAGCCUCCGGAUAUUGUACUCAAGGUUGAUAUGCAUUGUGAAGCUUGCGCAAGGAAGGUUGCUCGAGCCUUGAAGGGUUUUGAAGGAGUGGAGGAUGUAACGACAGACAGCAAGGCAAGUAAGGUGGUGGUGAAAGGGAAGGCGGCAGACCCCAUAAAGGUCUGCGAAAGAUUACAAAAGAAAAGCGGCAAAAAAGUGGACCUCAUUUCACCUUUGCCUAAACCACCAGAGGAGAAGAAGGAGGACCAACAGGUUAAAGAAGCUGACAAGGAAGAGAAAAAAGAGCAGCCUCCUGCUGUUGUUACGGUGGUAUUGCAAGUUCGAAUGCACUGCGACGCCUGCGCUCAAGUUCUACAGAAGCGAAUUCGAAAGAUCCAAGGAGUGGAAUCAGUGGAAACAGACGUAGCUAAUAAUCAGGUUGUGGUAAAAGGCGUAGUGGACCCGGCGAAGCUAGCUGAGGAGGUGUAUAAAAAAACCAGGAAGCAGGUUUCUGUUGUGAAGGAGGAAGAGAAGAAGGAAGAAGAAAAGAAAGAAGAGGAGAAGAAAGAAGCCGAGAAAGAAGAGAGACGAAAGAAGGGGAGGAAGACAAGCAGGGAGAGGAUAAUAAGGUCGAUAUCAAGCGAAGUGAAUAUUGGCCGACAAAGUACUACUCGGAUUAUUCAUCGUAUCCAAACCCUCAGAUUUUCAGCGAUGAAAACCCUAAUGCAUGCUCUGUUAUGUAACUGCUAUAUAUGUAUAUGCGUGCAGUAAGACAUGCAUGCCUAAAUCUGCAAUUUUCUACGUACAUGUGGAAAUUAAUAAUUGAACUAUUAACUAUUGCAACUUAUAUAUUAAUUAAGAGUGUAUGCAUGCCAUCCUUGGGCAUCAAUCCGAUA